rnacentral:rRNA from 1 species
AGAGAGAGACAUGCGCGCAUAUCAAUAAGCGGAGGAAAAGAAACUAACAAGGAUUCCCUUAGUAACGGCGAGUGAAGCGGGAAGAGCUCAAAUUUGAAAUCUUCAAGGUUUUACCUUGACGAAUUGUAGUUUAAAGAAGUGUUUUCUGCUGAAGUUUUGGUAAAAGUUCUUUGGAAUAGGACAUCAUAGAGGGUGAGAAUCCCGUAUUUGACCAUUAUUUUCAGCUUUGUGAUACACUUUCAAAGAGUCGGAUUGUUUGGGAAUGCAGUCCAAAAUGGGUGGUAAAUUUCAUCUAAAGCUAAAUAUUGGCGAGAGACCGAUAGCGAACAAGUACCGUGAGGGAAAGAUGAAAAGAACUUUGAAAAGAGAGUUAAACAGUACGUGAAAUUGUACAAAAGGGAAGCGUUUGACACCAGUGUUGUUUUCUCGAAAAUCAAUUAAAAAUGGCUCGAUUUUGUAUUGUUGAGACCUUAAAAGCUCACUGUACAUUUUUCGUGUCUUUUUUAAUGCACUUUUCGUUUAACAAGUCAACAUCAGUUUCUUUUGUUGUAAAAGGGUCAUUGGAAGGUGGCUUUCUUUUCGGAGAAAGUGUUUAUAGCCUUUGGCCUCUGCAAUCGGAAGAGACUGAGGUCUGCAGCGUAGACUCUUCCGGGGUUAGAUACAUUUGUGCUAAGUUAUAGCUUUUUAUAGACAACUUGUUGACUAUAAUUAGUCUUGUAGCUUACUCGCUUAUGCUAUUUUACCUACGCUUAGGAUGUUGAGUCGUAGAGCACGCAG